rnacentral:rRNA from 1 species
AUGAAGGGCUGGGGUGCCAACUUGGGUCGAGACCUCUGUGAGCACAAGAAGGCCCUUCUGUCUGCUAUUCAGGCCCUUGACCUGCGCGCAGACUCCUCUUGCCUCUCCCCUGAGGAGUGGCUUUCCCGGUAUGACCUGGAAGACCAACUCUUGAUUAUCUACUCCGACAAAGAGGCCUACUGGCGUUUGCGCGGGGUUCAAAAAUGGGUAUUGAAGGGUGAUGCGAACACGGCGUAUUUUCAGGCCAUCGUGAAUGGUCGCCGUAGACGCAACACCACCCCCCUCCUUUGGGAUGGGUCUUCUCUAUUACAGUCCCCCGCUGACAUAAGGUCCCAUGUGGACGGUUUCUAUAGAUCUCUGUUCGCUGUCGUUCCUCGGAGCGGCCUAUCCCUGGCCCUGGACUGUUGG